ACGGAAGGCAGCAGUGGGGAAUAUUGCACAAUGGGCGAAAGCCUGAUGCAGCGACGCCGCGUGAGUGAAGAAGUAUUUCGGUAUGUAAAGCUCUAUCAGCAGGGAAGAAAAAUGACGGUACCUGACUAAGAAGCACCGGCUAAAUACGUGCCAGCAGCCGCGGUAAUACGUAUGGUGCAAGCGUUAUCCGGAUUUACUGGGUGUAAAGGGAGCGCAGGCGGUACGGCAAGUCUGAUGUGAAAGCCCGGGGCUCAACCCCGGUACUGCAUUGGAAACUGUCGAACUAGAGUGUCGGAGGGGUAAGCGGAAUUCCUAGUGUAGCGGUGAAGUGCGUAGAUAUUAGGAGGAACACCAGUGGCGAAGGCGGCUUACUGGACGAUAACUGACGCUGAGGCUCGAAAGCGUGGGGAGCAAACAGGAUUAGAUACCCUGGUA
rnacentral:rRNA from 1 species